UUCACAAUUUAGACUCCAAACAAAAGAAAAGUGACGUUAUUUCGAAAAACGCAACAAAGAAAUUUAGGCAUAUAAAAUUUUCAUGUCUUAUUGUCAUAACAAACGAUUCGUUACAUACACAAUCAAUAUGGACAUGUGUAUGUAUUAAAAUCGUCAUGUUAAAACGUCAUGAAAUCUAACUAAUUAAGUGAAAUUAAUAGGAACAUUUAAUCACUGAGCAUCGAUUUCCUUAAAUGACUUGUACACCUGUCAAACAAGUAAGCUGUGAUCGUAAGUCGUGAGUCAAGUAGUUGUUAUAAGCAAUAUCAUACGAUAAGUAUGUGUUAGUGUGGGGACAAGAUCAAAGCCGUCAACGAUGGUGCCGUUAUGCCGUUAUCGGAAGCGCAUUCCGACGACUUGGCCUUCGUCCUCACCUCCUCGUACCGACGUUGUUUGGAACGACCACAUCGUCGUUCUGUGUCUUUCGAAGGAAAAAUCGUGUAAAUACCAUCGUACCACGCGUAGCAUAUGGAUAUAACACGCUUGACCCAUACACUGAGAGAAAGUGUCACAAAACCAUGCCACUGAUUGAACGUUUUCACGAUAAACAAAAUAUAAAUACGAUGAAACUAUACAGGAUGCAUACGACCACGAGACAUAUCGUAAACUAACAAGUUAGCCGGCAGAGGGCCGCAUUUACCGUUUGCUUUUAUGUGUGUAUGUACAGUAUGAUGCAUGACGAUGUUACGAUUAAGUGGUUGUUCGUAAUUGUAGUGCAUUACAAUUUGACAACCGAAAAGUAUAUGAUCAUUCUACAUAUCAUUUAUAAGACAAAUACAUAUGUACAAUUGAAACAUUAUCAUAAUUAAUAUCACGCAGUAAAGUUAUAUUUUACGAUAAUUAAGUUACUCUUAAUUUCAAAUAUAAAUUUUAAGGUUUACCUAUGACAGAUAAUUAAGAAUGCGCAUGCGCAAUUGUACGCGCGUAAUUUAAUGUAACAAAGCGCGUUAUUUCAAAUUUAUUAUAUGUAAUACUCGUUUUAUAUUUGACACUGUAAAAAUACUACAUUCUUACCUGUUAGUGAAUAUGUGCGCUUCCGGAUGAGAAGGUGAUAAAACUACUUGAUUGACACCCGAUGACGCUUCUGUUUCCUGAGAUUCAAAUUUGUACAUCUCAGGUUGCGACAAUGUCUCUGUCCCGGCAGGGGUACGCAUGGUUGCUUAUUGUUUUGUAUUCCAAUUCUGUAACAUAAUUUAUCAUUUGAUAAAUAAUACAAUUUAGGGAUGUAAACUUCCUUACUAGUAGUAUUUUAAAUAAGAGAACAUUUUUGACGCUUGUUACAUGCAAGUGUAUAUCAUCAAAAAAUGUAUUCGUCGCAAUGUUACUUUAUCAAGAGCGAAGACCAGAGGAAAAAGAGAAAAGACGAAUAAGAAAUCACCUUUAGCAUAACAUGGGGAGGCUGGGUUCAAUGGAAUGCCGAUCUAGUAAGAGGCGUGGUAUGUGGCCGUCACAUACCAAACAAUCGUGUUUUUAUUUUUUGUGCAAAUUCUUUAGGUUAAACCUAAUCAUACUUGCAUUUUUAGCCGAUAAUUAAAGAAAUCACGCUUUUUAACAAAAUAUUAGCAGGAAAGUUAAAGUGAAAGAUUUACUUAAAAUUUGAGUAUUGCAUA
rnacentral:misc_RNA from 1 species